CUUAACUUAGCAAAAUAUGUGAUCCCCAUCUAACUGCCUUUGAGCCGGAAGCAUUGGGUAACCUUGUAGAAGGAAUUGAUUUUCACAAAUUUUAUUUUGAAAAUGUUCUUGGUAAAAACUGCAAAGCUAUAAACACAACCAUUUUAAAUCCUCAUGUGCACUUACUUGGUGAAGAAGCCGCUUGUAUUGCCUAUGUCAGGCUUACACAGUACAUUGAUAAGCAAGGACAUGCACACACUCAUCAGUCCGAGGAGACGCGAGUCUGGCACAAACGCGAUAAUAAAUGGCAGAAUGUUCACUUUCAUCGAAGUGCAUCUGCCAAAAUAAGCGGAGCAACUACAUUCGAUUUCAUACCCCAAAAAUAGUGGACAUUACUUAAUAGAAUAUAAACUGUCAUUAUGCACAUGUCAAGGAAAGUGCUAUAUUUAUUUUUAGAGAUAGCAAUGGUUUAUUGCAAAUAAAGAUGCUAGUGCAAAUUUUAA
rnacentral:sRNA from 1 species